AGAGUUUGAUCAUGGCUCAGGAUGAACGCUAGCGGCAGGCCUAAUACAUGCAAGUCGAACGGGCUGGAGUAGCAAUACUUCAGUUAGUGGCGCACGGGUGCGUAACGCGUAUGCAACCUACCUUUUAUUGGGGGAUAGCCCGAAGAAAUUCGGAUUAAUACCGCAUAAUAUCAUUUGAGGGCAUCUGAGGAUGAUUAAAGCUACGGCGAUAAAAGAUGGGCAUGCGUGUCAUUAGCUAGUUGGUUGAGGUAACGGCUCACCAAGGCGACGAUGACUAGGGGUUCUGAGAGGAUGAUCCCCCACACUGGUACUGAGAUACGGACCAGACUCCUACGGGAGGCAGCAGUAGGGAAUAUUGGGCAAUGGCCGCAAGGCUGACCCAGCCAUGCCGCGUGCAGGAUGAAGGCCUUCUGGGUUGUAAACUGCUUUUACCAGGGAAGAAAAUACCUUUGCGAAGGGAACUGACGGUACCUGGUGAAUAAGCACCGGCUAACUCCGUGCCAGCAGCCGCGGUAAUACGGAGGGUGCAAGCGUUGUCCGGAUUUAUUGGGUUUAAAGGGUGCGUAGGCGGCGUAAUAAGUCCGUGGUGAAAGCCAACAGCUCAACUGUUGAACUGCCAUGGAUACUGUUAGGCUUGAGUACAGACGAGGUAGGCGGAAUGGAUCGUGUAGCGGUGAAAUGCAUAGAUACGAUCCAGAACUCCGAUUGCGAAGGCAGCUUACUAGGCUGUAACUGACGCUGAGGCACGAAAGCGUGGGGAGCGAACAGGAUUAGAUACCCUAGUAGUCC
rnacentral:rRNA from 1 species